rnacentral:lncRNA from 1 species
UCACAUUCCACAAAGGAGCUCUGUCAUCUGGAUUAUAAUGAAGACACCACAGCUGAUCCCAGAACCUCAAAAUUCCUCCAACGUUAUCAUGCAGAGCAAUUUACCUCUGUCUUGGACUACAUCUAAACGCCAUCAAAAUGGUCUAAGUAUUUGCUAAGAUGAAGGCAGUUCUCUCCCCUAAGAGGAAUUCUGCCACAGCUCACCUAAGCCUCACAGCUGGGCACAGGAAAACACGGAAUAAGGACCCAGUGAACUAAAGGGGCUGAAGCCAUGACUAGGAAUCAUGUGCAUGAAGAAGCCCAGAAGAGCCAAUACUCCCCGGAAGGGCACCCGGAGACCACUAAGGAAGGAGGGAGGAUACCUUCUGUUCCCGUGUUCAGGCUCCAAUGUAUCCAGGUCACAGGAGGCUGCCUCUCCAGGCAGAGAAACUGAUCCGUCCCUAUCAGUGCCAGGCGGAGGGCAGGGGAUUUCGCACCUGAGCAAGGGUUGGGAUGACUCCCAAGCUUCCAUUCUCCCUGGAGUUCCUCCCGAGGGUCUCUGUGACACAGAGGAGGAAGCAGGAGCUUUCUUUGCAUAAUCAUGGUCAAAUAUUUAUAUUUGUUUGGGAUUUGCUUCUAUGGGAUGUUUUCGUCAUUCAAAUCUAUUUCCAAAAUAAAUCCGGAUCUCUUUUAUAAGAAAAUGCAAUGAAAACACCAGAAUGAUAGAGUAAGAAAAUAGAACUGAAAUUACUGAAAAGGAGCUGAGGAAUUAGAUGUUGCCAGGCAUCUGAGAUGAGAUGAUUAAAACAGCCAGGUGGCUCUGAGCUAAGGCAAAAGGCAGAAUCUGGGGCAACACAGUUUAUAUCAUCUGACAACAUAAAGCAUGCACAUCCUUUGUGUCAAGCCGCACUGCUUCCUGGAACAAACUCAAGGCAGAAUUUAUUACCUGGGUUCCUGUUUAAGUGCAUGUCGAAUGACCAGUUGAUGAAAGCCUUCAAAUAAAGUUUUGCAAAAGAACAAAGAAUGAGACGUGGAGUACUGACCCUCUCUGAAAGGAUACCAG